GCGUGUUCCAGAGUGAGACGUCCCGAGGGCGUGUUCCAGAGUGAGACGUCCCGAGGGCGUGUUCCAGAGUGAGACGUCCCGAGGGCGUGUUCCAGAAUGGUCGAAGUCACACUGCAAAAUGGAUUAGUCCGUCAGGGUGAGUUUGCUGCCCGAUCGUUCCAAUAAUGUCAUUUGUGGAUCACGGAAAGGGAGCAUUAUGAUUUGGGGAGAAGAGCUCAACGUUUGCUGUCGCAAGUAUCAGCCUUGAUGGAAAUCUGAAUCAAUGAAUGGGAUGAAGAUCGGGUUAGGACGAAUCUUCAUUUACAGAUAAGGCCUCAAUAAGAAAAAUAAAUGGAUAAAUAAAAUUCUUUAAAGGUGUUAACGCCACCACCAGUUAUUGUGAACAGUAUACUAUCGUUUUCAUCUACUCACCAGAAGUGUGGAGACAAUGUAGAACUUUGACUGAUAUCGUUAUGUUUCCAUUAUUCUUCCUGUGAAUAUUGCUAAUCAUGAAGGUGAAUUAUUAAUAUUUCGUAAGUCGAGGUCAAAGAUGGUCAUAUUUUUCAAGAAAACAAAUGUCGUAGAAAAGAAAAAUCGUCGUCCUUGUGAGCAGACCUAGAAAUGCAUAUUUUGGAGAUUAUGGGUUAAUUGCGUAUGCGUUAAUGAAAGACCUGGAAAAGAAACUUCGUUGGGAAGGGGAUGUCUUGUGAAUUAGGUUGCGGAGAGGUCAGAAUAGUCUAGGGAAUUCAAGGUCAUCCACUUUCUUGUGUACUAUAUUUCAUCUCUAAAGGAUCGCUGCGAGAUCAUCGUGUAUAGCCUACAGAUCCGUGUGGGUGUUUUUGAAGAUCCUCGAAGAGCUAAAACCUUUGUUGUUCCUGUGUAUAGAAUGUAAAUCAUUAAGAAUGGGUGGUGUGCCAAGAAAACGGGUCUUGGCCGGAUCUUUGGUUGUUCAGUGGAGAGAGUGCCUUUGUGAAAAAUUAGCAGGAGGUUGGCAUCGACAUUGGGGAGUAAGCUGGGUAUCAUCUUCGUUCGUUGUCUUGGGGAGGAAGACGGAUUGGAUCUUAGUCGUUGCCUUUGUGUUGGGUAUUCGUCAUCUUAGAAGAGAAAAAUGUCAUCACCAUUGGGAAGAAGAUGCGGAUCCUGGUCGUCGCCGUUACCCUGAAGAAGAACCUCGCGAUGCCUCCGCUUUAUCGAGAAGAGGGAGUGGUGAUGUCGCCAUCGACAAGGCAUGAGACGUGGUUCGACGUCGUUUUCUGAAAAAUGCAUCAAUUGCCGUCAAUUGGAAGAAAGUCGUAGCAGCCGUCGCCUCUGGUCGCAGUGUUUCCUGAAAAGAAAGGAAUAGGGCGAGAUGGAAGGUACGUGGAUCGUCGUCGUCGUCAUCGUCGGGAAGAGAAUAGGACGUGGAACGUCGUCGUCGGGAAGAGAGAAGAGGAUGUGGAAC